GAUGAACGCUGGCGGCGUGCUUAAUACAUGCAAGUCGAGCGGACGGACGAGAAUCUUGCUUCUCUGACGUUAGCCGCGCACGGGUGUGUAACACGUGGAUAACCUACCUAUCAGACUGGGAUAACCUCGGGAAACCGGAUCUAAUACCGGAUAAUAUUUUGAUCCGCAUGGGUCAAAAGUGAAAGACGGUCUUGCUGUCACUUAUAGAUGGUUCCCCGCUGCAUUAGCUAGUUGGUAAAGUAACGGCCUACCAAGGCAACGAUGCAUAGGCGAGCUGAGGGGGGGAUCGGCCACACUGGAACGUGGACACCGUCCAUGCGCCUGCGGGAGGCAGCAGUAUGGUAUCGUCGGCAAUGGGGGAAAGCAUGACGGAACAACGCCGCGCGAGAGAUGGAGGUCUUCCGAUCGUAAAGCUCUGUUAUGAGGGAAGAACAUAUGUGUAAGGAACUGUGCACAUCGUGACGGUACCUGAUCAGAAAGCCACGGCUAACUACGUG
rnacentral:rRNA from 1 species